ACUUGAAAAAGCUUUGUUCAGGUUCUGGAUUCAGUGAACUGGGAACACAAGCUCUCAUCAAUUUCUUAAAAGCAGCUUUAGUAUGUCUAACAUCAUGAUAUUCCACAGCAGAAACUCGGUUAUCAAUAUUAAUUGGGACUGGACCUGUUUGAACCAGCUAAGAUGUUACCUUCAUGUGGGCUUUCUCCCCAAGAAUAUAAAGCGCUGCACGUUGAAAUGUAUGUACACAUUCAGUUCCGCUGUCAGAGUCUGCCGAAUGCCUGACGGUACCUCGUUGAUUGACCGUCGUCAGAGAGGCUUGAGAACUAUUAUGCCUCUUGUCUUUAAGGGAACCCCAACGUCCGAAGUUUUUAGGCCCCUUGCCACCCGACGAUCUUGGGAACAUUCUAAGUUAGAGAGCGCAGAAUCAGGCAAGCAAUACCAUCUAAUCGGACAAUGAGAAUGAAUACAAAGCACAUGCUCGAUUUGCGAUACGACAUUCAAUUGAAUGAAAACAUCGAGUAAAAUAAUACCUCUGUAUCUCAUGCCAGAGAUUCUACAAAAUCUUAUCCAAAAACGGAAAUUAAUGACAGGUAUAUUUACGAAAAUAACUAGCAACAUAGAAAACACAAAGGUCUUCUAACUAACGUAACGAUGCAACAAUUAUUUCAGUUCAAAUUGAGUUACAAGAUAUGCAUACCCAAGGGUACCAAUUGCUUUGUUGAAUGGAUUUCUUCUGGAUUGUUCAGGAGUUGCGUUUCGGUCUUCAGCUGCUAAAAACAGGGAAUCUAUGCUGAGAGAGCUAUCCGACAUUCCCCAAGCAGAUCCUUGUCGUAAUACCGAAGCUGGAGUUGCUGCUACUAAAGCCAUCAUAUACUUCUCUAGUUCUAACGAUGAGGUACUCUCUGAAGAAGUAGCU
rnacentral:misc_RNA from 1 species